UAAAAUCAGACAAGAUCAGGCUGAUGUUGCAUUCAGCAAACGCAAGAACAAAUGUCGGAGACUUUCAGGAUAUCAAAGAUGUUGCUUUAUUGGCCAAGUUUAACCUGCGCAGGGGUGAACUCUUAAAGUGUCCGGAGACACAGUACCCACAGGGGCUGCAGAUGAAAGAGUCGCGCCGAGCGCUCACAGCUAGGUUCUUA